UACGGGGGGUGCACGCGUUGUGCGGAAUCAUUGGGCGUAAAGCGCGUGUAGGCGGCUAUCUAAGUCUGAUGUGAAAGCCCGGGGCUUAACCCCGGAAGUGCAUUGGAUACUGGAUGGCUAGAGGACGAGAGAGGGAAGUGGAAUUCCUGGUGUAGGGGUGAAAUCCGUAGAUAUCAGGAGGAACAUCGGAGGCGAAGGCGGCUGCCUGGCUCGUUUCUGACGCUGAGACGCGAAAGCGCGGGGAGCAAACAGG
rnacentral:rRNA from 1 species